AAAAAAGUUCGGAAUUAACGAAUUUUUUUGAUCUGAAAAUGAAGUCUUUUUAUGCAGCAUUACAGAAACAUUUACAUAGCUUGUUGGUUGUAUCUUGUGACUAAUUCACAGUAUAAUGUAAAAGAGAUAACCUACAAGUUUUAUGUUUCUGGGCAUUCCUAUAAUGAUUGUGAUAAAGAUUUUGGUAUUGUUGAAUGAGUUAAACCGAAUUGUGGAAUUUAUCUACCCUUCAUAUUAGUUAAAAGUAAUUGAAGAUGCCAAGUUAGAAACCUCUUUUGUGUGCUAUGAAAUGAGUUUCAACAACUUUAAAGAUAUUAAAAUCCUCUUAGCACAAGCUGUGAACCAUAAAGUGGACAUAAUUGGCAAUAAAGUUCACUGGCUUAGGAUAAAAAGUAUUCAAGUGAAAGAGAAGGAGCCAUUUUCAAUAUUUUUUAAAUAUAUACAUGAUCAAAAUGAAGAAUAUAAAGAACUCUCAGUAAAGAACAUCAGGGAAUGACCUAAAACUCUGGGUCUGGUUACACUUCCAAACUUCAUGGAGCCUAUACAACUUUCUCAAACAAAAGUAAGAUUAUAGGCCUUUUGUCAAUCAUGCAGAUGUUAAAAAUACAGUUUAUUGUUUAUCAAACAUAAGUGUUUGUUACAGGUGAAAGACUUGCAAUCUUUUAGAAUUCAUCCCACUAGUGCAUCAGGACUUACAAAAACUUGAGUAUAUCAUAAAUUGAAGAAAUGAAUAGAUUUCCAGACUCAGAAGAUGAGGAAGAGGAAUUACAUGCCAGAC
rnacentral:lncRNA from 1 species